UUUUUUUAUUAUUGCGAAUGUAAUUGUUACAAAAUUGUGUACACGGAGCUACUCUGUCCUGCCCAAUUCCCAGACUCCGGCGUGCAUCCCAACCCAAGGGAAGGUAUUUAGCAGCAUCAACUUUGUCAGGACUCUGCUUCCAAAACUGUGAUCUCAAACAGCCAGGCAACCAGCAGCUAACUCACCCAGUUUACCGAGUCAAUGCACACGAAGCCCCAAAGUAUGUGAUUUAAAGAGCUGCAUGUAAACACACAGAGCCCCCGAGAUGUAGAGGGUUGCACGUGGGAAGACAUAGUGACUUCACGCGUGUAUGCGUGCGUGUGUGUGCGCGCGCGCCUGUGUGAGAGAGUGAUAUAAGCUGGGUGGAAAGGAUAGGGGUCAAAUCCCAGACCUUUCUUACAAGUACAUUGCAUACAUUGUCAAAUAUUGCUGCUGACCAAGAUCUGAAGGAGCCGAGAACUUCCCUCCCUCUUGUUCUCGCUCACUGUAUUCCUCUCUCAUAUACAUACACACGCGCGCCUGCACACACACACACACACACACACACACACACACAUACACACACACACUCAUGCAAGCUCAUAUGAUGACAAAUGAAACCGUAUUGACAUGAAUAAGGGAAGAUAUUAGUCACAGAGUUAGAAGCAACAUCACUUUCAUUCCCCGAUCCCUGGCGUGCUGAGAUGGUUCUGCGGCUCGCUCCCGCAUGGGUGUGUGGGGCGUACGGCGCUGCCGCACACGCCGAGGAGGAGCGAAGCGGCGACACCUCACACAGCAUUCGCUCGCAUAUUUUCCUCACACACUCUUCUCUCUUUUUGGUGUUUUCGAAAAAAAAAUAUCCAUCAACUACUUUCCUUUUCCUUGUAUCCACAAAUGUACUCCAAGCACUCACACCUGACUGACUGCACAGCCCAAACAAGCUGCUGUCUCACGCUGUAUUGAAAUAAGAAAAUAAAAUAUAAAGCACAUAAGCUUAUUACAAAUAGCAAGCCAUACAAAAAGGUGUUCCUAUUUAUGCUUUCCCCAAAUGAGGGCUAAAAGUGCCCCUACGUAUUUCCUAAGUUUAACUCGUCAUUGAUACCACGCAGGAGGUGCCUCGCACCUGUACUUUCACUGUCGCCAAAAACAAACCGACGUGGCCGUCCUAACAAGCAUCGUUCAACAGGGUAAAACAACUACAAAGUAACGAAGACCAUUUUACAUAAGAAAAAAAAGGUAACGAUCCCGCAGGUAUCAUUAAUGAUACGUGUCUCAGAGUCAGUUUACCUUUGGCACUUGUGACUCCAUGAAACAUUUCUGUAGCAUAGAAUAUUUGUUAUAUUAAAACACAAACUUUUUUUUGGUUAGAAAUUAUAAGUGGAUACAAAUAUAUUAAUGCCUUCAGUUCUAUGUAUUAAUAAGUAUGACGCAAGACAGUUGUAAGAUUGGACGUAACUGGUCAAAAACGAGAGCAUAUAGCGGAAAAAUCACUUCAGCUGAAAAAACUCUUAAGACAGCAUUUUAUCCACGAAGUAUGAAUAUAACCUAUUUUUUCCCAUAGCGAAGUAAACAACAUGAACAUGACAAGAUCCAUUCCCAACUAUGAUUGGUUGUAAUUAGAAAUUAAGACACCUAAAUUAUCAUUUAGUUAAUUACACCAAAUAAACAAACAUAUCAAGUGCUGAGGUCAGAAAUGUGUCAGGAGAGGUCAACAGAGGUGUGACUCCUCAAUAUACAGGAUCCAGGCAAUUUGGAGAUGCGUGCAAGAAAGAUGUAAGAUGACGGCAUAUCAUUUGUUAACAUGAACUUGAGUUGGUCCUUGUCAUAACGUAUAACUCUCUAUAAAUUUAUACUAUGAGAUGUAGCUCAAUAAAUUUGUAUCGGGGGGAGGACACAAUUUGCUGCGACGCAACACCACUCAUGAGAUUUGUAAAAAUAUCCACUUAAAACGAAAACAAAUACAAGACAAUCGUACCGUUCUUAUUUCUUGAGUUAUUUUAAAAUAAUUAUCCAAUAUGUAUACAUUUGCACUGUGGCCCGCUUACCCGUAAUGGCGCGCGCACCAGUACCACCCUCCCCACGUGGCAUUAAAGAAGGUUCUUAGAUUUAGGCCCCAUGUCGUGGAUGUACCUUCACAUCCGCCCGUCUGCUCUGCUUGAUGCCGAAACAUCACUUGCCUGCAUUAAUUAUAACGGUAAUGAUAACAAUUAUGGGCAUAAAUACUUGACACAAUAUUUUGCUAUAAUACUAAAUUAAUAUAAUUAAUAAUAGCUUACACUUACCAUUUCAGGCGUAGCUCGAGGCCUGUGGUACAGAGAACCACGUGGAACUGGUUCACUUGCGACACAAAUAAAUCCAACCAAAAGAUGUUUCCUAUUUUUCUUGUCACGAUAUACUUAAAGCAUAAUCUUCUGUCACGUAGCAUAUAACAAAAAAAUGCAUCCUUUUUGUUUUGUGGUGUGUUGAGGGAAUUAUAAUAUGGUAAAGAUAUACUGGAACAUUAUAAGGUAUACAGAGGAGGCUGCUGACAUAUUUUUUUAUUUUAAACAUUUUUAUUGUCCCCUUGUACAUAAAAGUUACGAACCCCAAAGGCGUCAUUAGCGAAUUUCAUCGAUAAGAUCCAUCACACUGUGAAUGGGGGGUGAUGUGUACGUCAUAAGGUUACCUGAUGUUCAAACUUUGGACAUUUCAAACACAUUACUUUAUUACAAUAAAAUUGCUGCAGACAUUAUUAAAAUGUCAUUCAUCAAUAAUAAUUACUAAUAUUCUCAUUCCUAAACACCAACGUAACUAGAGCCAAUAACCAUAACUAACUAUAUACAUGAAACUACAGACAAAUUGAUAGUAAAGCAAAAAUGAACAAUGGUCGACACAUGUGGUGUCCGCGUAAAGUUUAUCAUUCUACUUUAUGCCUGGGUGUUUCUCAUCAAACACAUCCUUGAACUUGUUUUACCAUAGCGGGUGUUACUUUUUCCAUUGGCAUUUCGCCGUAUCUGUGAACACCUCUUCUCGGUUAAAGCAACCAUUGUUCGGACGUGGCAGUGGUCACAUUAAUUUAAAACAGUUUCAUGCAAUUAAUCCUCGCAGCAUGUGGAAAAUUCUUCUUUACGGAGUUCAGAAAGUUUGUGUGUAUGUCUUUAGUUUUCAUUCAUUAGGUCAUCCUUCAUGUUUUAGUAUAUCUGCGCUAAUUCUGCGGGUCUCCUUUCAGGUGAACCGACGGGGUUCUCUUCCUCUUGACUUUGAAUUUCAAGUGUUGGCCAAACUUUCAGGCCCCACCAAAUCAUGGCGUGUGUGCUGACUGGGUGUUGGAGAAGAGAUGUUGUGAACCUCAGGAAGGUCUUGUAAAGAAUGAGGAUUUUGGCCUGAGACAAAGACGGGGAGCCUGAAGGAGGAAAAGGUCUCCAUCCUGAUUUUCGCGACCGACGUCCGGCGGAGCUCAGCCCGGCCCUCCUUCCAGUCCAGCGAGCCGGGGAGCAACAUGAGUCAGAGCUGGGGGCCCCCGCUUACACUGUCCCAGCCUCAUGACACUUGUGAAAGCGGUGACCUUGGGGCUGUGAUGUCACUGCCCCGCUCAGCGGCCAGUGUGUCUGCAUCCCAAGGACCUGGGGUCACGGGACCUGCCCACUGUCUUGCCUCCUCACAUUCUUUUUAAAAUCAAAAUAUGAAUGGAACCAGACAUUAUGGAUUUUGUUCAUUCCAGUAUUUUGUUAGCAGCGGACUGAGAAUAAUACUGAUGUGGGGACCAGUGAUAUGGAAAGACUCUCGUUCCAACCUGCAUGCCAAGCAGCCCGGAUAGACGUGGGCGAGGAGACGGAGGAGUGGCCAGGUUGGGAAAAGGCAGACCACCCCCGGUUGGUCUUGGUGUCCGGUCUGGCAUGUCUGCAGAGGAGCAGUAGAUGUGGUGUCAGUUUGUCAUGGCAAAUAUCCCGGCACCAUUGCACAGGUAAUCCAAUAACCUGAAGGUACUGGAAGUCUCGGACUAGGAUGUAGAAGAGCAGGAGAAGGCUGGGAUUCAGGAGAUGGGAAUUACAGAGCUCUGGGAAUGAUGGGAAUUAUGAGGGAGCAGCAGCGAAGACAUGCACAGAACUGGACUAACUAUACAUGUGUCGUCGAGUGCUUACGAGAGCUAAAGGCGGUGGCCAGUCACUGUAUAUCAGGUAGGCACCAUCCCCCAGCUGCCGAGAACCAUUCUCAGUUGGAAAAGAGGCGAAACGCUGCAAUAAGGGAUUCGAACUAGUUCAUUUAUUUAACAUGCUCUGCUAGAAAAUAAAGCAGGAUAUCGUCUGAUCGUUCAGCUUCUUUGAAUAUAUUCCUAGUUAGAUUGUUUACAUUAAAUGGUAAGAUCCCCAGCUCCAGUGACUAAAUAAACAUGCUUCCUCCAUUUUGUUGAUGCCAGAUUAAAAUUCUGAAUAUAGAUUGACAAGAAUGUAUACAUAGCUAUAGCUAUAGAGAAGACUGGUAGAGGAUGAUCGCAUUAAGUAAAAAGUUGAAAAACGCUGGUAGGUGGAGUGGAUCUGAAUUUGCGUGUGUUAAAUCAGGUGAGAGAAGGUCUUUGCUGAUGGGUAGCUGAGGUCCAUAGAGAUGACGGGCACAGUGGCUAUGGAUCCUCUGACUAAGGCUACGCACAAGCGAUUAAAGGGGUUUUAAGAGGCUACAGCUCAGACGUCCGGCACACGUGUGACUCCCAGGACAGGAUAGUUAGCGCUUUCUGGGCGUUUCUGCGUGACUGCCGUCUUGUCUUCACAGAUAGCAGGGAUCCUUGGACAGCCAUGUUCCAUUUCCUCCCUACAGGUCACUUGAGCUAUAGGUAGAAGGUCUGAAUAAAAAGUCUGGUGGAACAUGAUUCCCCAGGUCUCACUCCCUAGAUAAAUAUCACAGCUUAGACGAACACAGGUGGAUUGCAGUUUUUCACCUGUAAAUUUAGACAUCAGGAUUAGACACCGUGAUAGUUGUUUGUUGCCCAAGGAAUGUGACUGGGUUGAUUGCUGGAUUCUAAUCAGAAUAUAAUGGGAAGACUGGAGAUGUGGAAGUUUUAUAGCGGAGCAUUUCAGAACCUCUUUGCAUUGUACCUGACUGGUUGAAGUUGAAGACACUUAGGGUACUGUUUUAGGGUGCCAUGCGUGAUAAGCGUCGGAAUGUGAGUGCCCACGUGUUUACUGCCACCCACUGGGAGGGGCAACGUUACAGGAGGCAACUGGCAGGAAUUUAUUACGAAAUGUAUAGCGUGUCUUCUUGGACAUAUAUGUUGGUGACAUUUCCUCUGUGCUUAGUAUGUGUGCUUUUAAGUAGCUGCUGGUUCUGGGAGGUACGGAACGAUCUGUGCCAACAGAUGGAGGACGAGACACAUGUGUCACAUUCUGAUAAGACCUUUAUGCUAUUUUAUGCAACUUUUAAAAACAUUUAAUGCGCUACUAAAUGAGCAGGCUUUGAUGAAGGGCUGGCUUCCUUGCUGUAAGGAUUAUGUUCCCCUCCCCGUGCUCAUAAAAUUCAGGCACGUAAACCUGACAUCUCAGAAGUUUUAGGAAGAAAAAGUUUUGUGGAUCUUCUCUGUGCUUUUCUGCUCCUUAAAAGGACGUGUGCGUUUUAAUUCAUCAGUAAGAUCGAAGUAGAAAAGUCCCUUUUUAAAAACACUCUCUAUUACAGAAAAGUGUCAUGCAAAGAAU